rnacentral:rRNA from 1 species
UGAGUAACCUGCCCUUAACUCUGGGAUAAGCCUGGGAAACUGGGUCUAAUACCGGAUAUGACUCCUCAUCGCAUGGUGGGGGGGUGGAAAGCUUUAUAGUGGUUUUGGAUGGACUCGCGGCCUAUCAGCUUGUUGGUGAGGUAAUGGCUCACCAAGGCGACGACGGGCAGCCGGCCUGAGAGGGUGACCGGCCACACUGAGACUGAGACACGGCCCAGACUCCUACGGGAGG